UAGAGUUUGAUUAUGGCUCAGAUUGAACGCUGGCGGAAUGCUUUACACAUGCAAGUCGAGCGGCAGCGCGGGGGCAACCCUGGCGGCGAGCGGCGAACGGGUGAGUAACACAUCGGAACGUACCCUAUCGUGGGGGAUAACGAAUCGAAAGAUUCGCUAAUACCGCAUACGACCUGAGGGUGAAAGCGGGGGAUCGCAAGACCUCGCGCGAUUGGAGCGGCCGAUGUCGGAUUAGCUAGUUGGUGAGGUAAAGGCUCACCAAGGCGACGAUCCGUAGCUGGUCUGAGAGGACGACCAGCCACACUGGGACUGAGACACGGCCCAGACUCCUACGGGAGGCAGCAGUGGGGAAUUUUGGACAAUGGGGGCAACCCUGAUCCAGCCAUUCCGCGUGAGUGAAGAAGGCCUUCGGGUUGUAAAGCUCUUUCGGCAGGAACGAAACGGUGGAGGCUAAUACCUUUCAUCAAUGACGGUACCUGAAGAAGAAGCACCGGCUAACUACGUGCCAGCAGCCGCGGUAAUACGUAGGGUGCGAGCGUUAAUCGGAAUUACUGGGCGUAAAGCGUGCGCAGGCGGCUUUGUAAGACAGGUGUGAAAUCCCCGGGCUUAACCUGGGAACUGCGCUUGUGACUGCAAGGCUCGAGUGUGGCAGAGGGGGGUGGAAUUCCACGUGUAGCAGUGAAAUGCGUAGAGAUGUGGAGGAACACCGAUGGCGAAGGCAGCCCCCUGGGUCAACACUGACGCUCAUGYACGAAAGCGUGGGUAGCAAACAGGAUUAGAUACCCUGGUAGUCCACGCCCUAAACGAUGCCAACUAGGUGUUGGGGGAA
rnacentral:rRNA from 1 species